CUAAAUCAAAAGUUACGUUAGAGCAAAAAAGCUGUGAUGAUACAUUUCUUGUUACCUAAUUACAAAAUAACUUGGGGAUUGAUUGCAUAGUAAGUAAUUGUGAUAAAUUACCGGCGAUAGAUUUUAUCUGUAAAAGUAUUCUGUUUUAUCGGUGAUAGAGUUUGUGAAUAUAUUAACUGUUCUAUUAUCACAUUUUUCUGGUAUGCACUUUCUAGAUUAGUAAUAGUUGAAUUUACUUUCAGGGUUAUGGUGUUGUUCUUGUUAACACUGAUGAGGCAGGGACACUGUUAGUAACCAAUUAUCGACUUAUUUUUCUGAGUGAAGGAACUAGGAAUAUCAUUUCUCUUGGUA